UACAUUAUACAUAAAUAUCAAGCGUUCAAUAAUUCCCCUAUUCCAGGUGAAGGCAAACAAACUCUGCCCAUUCAUUCCGGACUUCAUCAAUUGCUUCUUGGGGGUAUGGCGCUUCCUGUUUUCCCUUGGCAUACUGCAUAAACAAUGACUAUUAGGGUUUAUAAAUAAAAAGAAAUUAAAUCACAGACGACGAUAUUUUUCAUAACCGACGUACUAUAUCUAUUCAACGACGGUAAUUUUACAUGACCGUCGUUGAUAAUACAUAAAACGACAUAAAAUGUAUGAAGGUAAUUUCUUCUUACCUUCUUCUCAAACCCCAAGGAAGGAUCCAUGAUGAUGUCCCUCAUGAAGCGCAUCACAUAAUACCCGCAUUCGACACUGCUGGGUUGCUUUGGUGUGCCUGACAGAGUUUUCCAAAUGACUGCCUUACGGCCUGGUCUAGCUAUGUGAGAAUUAUAAAUUUUUAUAGCACUGUUCACAAUGUUUUUGGCCUCUUCAUCGACCACACGAUUUCCUGGCAGAGAAUCCAGAAAAUAGACG
rnacentral:lncRNA from 1 species